rnacentral:rRNA from 1 species
UACGUAGGGGGCGAGCGUUGUCCGGAAUCAUUGGGCGUAAAGCGCGUGUAGGCGGUUCGGUAAGUCUGCUGUGAAAGCCCCGGGCUCAACCUGGGAAUUGCGCGCGAAACGGGGGGGCUUGAGUUCGGGAGAGGAGCGUGGAAUUCCCAGUGUAGAGGUGAAAUUCGUAGAUAUUGGGAAGAACACCGGUGGCGAAGGCGGCGCUCUGGACCGAGACUGACGCUGAGGCGCGAAAGCGUGGGGAGCAAACAGG